UGUUAUCAGCUGAAGAUCAAUAAUUGGAUGAUAGGAAGCCCGAUUUGGGCUCCCGUUUGCAUUUCCCAUCUGACGGGGGUUGGCUUUCUGUCCUUUUUCUUCUUUUUUUUUGUCUUUUUCCCUCCCUCACCCAGAUCCCUCUCACGAAGACUCCCCUUGCCCAGUGAAACUCAUUCGCCGUCUCCCAUCUCCCCCGCAUCUCCAUCUCCCCUCCCUCGCUUCUCCUUCUCCAUCUGCCCUGCCCAGUGAACCCGUCUCCCAUGCCCGUCGAUCACUGCCCAGUUCUUCUCCAAGGAUCAACAAAGUCAAGUUUGGACACAUGCUUCAAAUUUUUUUUCAACUCCUUCGACUACUCAUCACUCACAGGAGUCAACUUCGGAGGCUUUUCAUCAGAACUUCAGUGUGUUAUGAUUGGUAGAGGUCAUGAGACAAAUUUGUAUCAGUUAUUACUUGUUUUGUAAUUUUGAAAUCUUGGGAUUUUAUUGAACCUAUUUUUGUAACUCUUUGUUAA